GACAGAGGGUGCAAACGUUGUUCGGAAUUACUGGGCGUAAAGCGCAUGUAGGCGGUUCGAAAAGUCAGAUGUGAAAGCCCUGGGCUUAACCCAGGAAGUGCAUUUGAAACUCACGAACUUGAGUCCCGGAGAGGAAGGCGGAAUUCUCGGUGUAGAGGUGAAAUUCGUAGAUAUCGAGAGGAACAUCGGUGGCGAAGGCGGCCUUCUGGACGGUGACUGACGCUGAGAUGCGAAAGCGUGGGGAGCAAACAGG
rnacentral:rRNA from 1 species